AUCUAAGUAGUUUAUUUAAAAUAUUAAUUUGUGGUUUUAAAGAAGCAAUAUAUUGUCUUAGAUA
rnacentral:tRNA from 1 species